ensembl:antisense
CCCCUCCUCUGUCCUGUUGCCACCCAGAUGCUGACAAAGCCAUCUCUUGCUGACAGAAGUGUAUUCUCUGCACUCCCCUUCCCUGCUGUGGAGUCCGUGCCACCGCCUUCGACGCCGGCACACACCAUGGUGGGCAACACUCGACCCGGGUAGUCCUUGUUGCAAGAUGCUUCAGAGAUAAUGCUGAUGUUGGCACAAUGCAACGUAUCAGGGAGUCUCACUGAGGAGGACAGAUGGCUUUGAGUAUAUUUAAUUCCUUUGGUUCUUGUUCCCUCCAUUCAAGAACCCCUGGGGACAACAUUGCUGGAAUUUCUAUCUCCAGUUCCAUCCUUCCACUCACCGUGUGACUUCUGGCUCCCUGUGGCUCCAGGGUUGUUGUCUGAUAACAGACCCCAGCCUGACACCACGCAGUCCUCACCGAUAAGAGGGCAACGUCUGGGCAGCGCCACAGGACGCACGUAGGCUGUCAGCCGGGCAGGUUUGAAAAGUCGCAACAGCAUAAUGUCAUGGCGGUGGGUGCGAGCCUCGUAGCCCGGAUGUGGAAUGAUGCGAGAGACGGAGCGCAGUUGCUCUGGACCAUCGAACUUGCGGAGAUUGUGCUCACCCAGGCGCACUCUCAUGAAGCUGUGUGAUCGAGUAGGAGGAGACAAAGUGGUCAGAGAAGAUAACCUGGGAUCUUCGGAGAACUUUCUCCUUUUCUCAAGUCCUUGAAGCCAGUGGUUCCAACCGUGACCUCUCCAGAGCCCAGGAGUUUCACGGGGUGUGAUGGUUCAUGCCUUUAACCCCAACACUUGGGAGGCAGAGGCAGGGGGAUUUCUCUAAGUUGUGGACCAGCUUGGUCUACACGGUGAGUUCUAGAGCAAACUGGGUUGCACAGUCAAAACAAACAAAAAACAAACUAACAAACU